AACACAUGUAAAAGACAAAAAGUCUCUUGUUGUAAGAACAGAACAUGAAUUUUCAAAAUUCUAUUGUUGCGUUUUUUUUAUUCAUAGGUGCGAUUUUCACCAAGCUUAAGUCAUUCCAAGCCAAUUCUAAGUGCAAAAUCAAGUAUAUAUGAGUUUCCAAAAUCCAUUGUUGCGUUUUUGAUAUUCCUAAGUGCGAUUUUCACCAAGCUUAAGCCAAUUCUAAGCAAAAAUCAAGUUAUAAGGGAUUCUAUUGUCGGGCUAGGAACUGAUGAAGAUUCACUCAACAGAGCUAUUGUAACUCGAGCUGAAAUCGACUUGUUGAAAGUGAGAUUCGAGUAUGCUAACAUGUACAAAUCAAGUAGUCUUGAUGAAGAUGUCAUUGGAGAUACCUCGGGUGACUACAUGGAAUUCUUGCUGACUUUGCUAGGGAAAGGACCAAAGGGAUACUAAUACAUCACAACAACAAGAACCUAUCUUUCUGUUCUGAGGUUAUUUGUAAUCUUAAUUUGAUGGUUUAAAUUAUGUUGUACAUGUUGGUACAAUAUGUCAGAAGAAUAAAAUUUGCAAGUUGAAACUAAGACUAUAUGUGUGUGUGUUAUUCUGAAUUGGAUUUGUGUGCAUAUUAAUUAAUUAUUCCUUGAUAUUUUCACUGUGAAAACUAAAAGAAAGUGUUGUAUAAAUAAGAAGGUAUUUGAUGAUGUAAAAUAUAUUGAAGUUAUUA